AAAAUGGAUAUCAGCUAAUAAAAGCAUGCAGCAAGCCCUCCCACUGCCCCCCCCAUGGCCAUCCCCUCACAUCUCCCUUGGGCUCUAAUAGUGGGUUCCUAAUUGUUCUCCUAACCUUCAGUUUGUCUCUCUUCAGUCCAUCAUCUCCACAGCUGCCAAGAAUCAUCCAUCCGAAAUGAAUCUUCCAGACCUUGCCACCCUGGUGCAUAUGUAUUUUUUGAAUUCUCUGAAAUAAGAUGAAGAAAGCAAGACUCGUACAAGCCAGGAAGAGAAAAGAGCAAGGGAUUAGAGAGGGAGGGAUCCUCUCUAGCUGGGGGACCGCCAAAGAUGACUUGGAAGAGAUGGUGCCUGAGCAGAAAGAGGGUUACCCUGGGAGCCUGGAGACCUCUACCUCUAAUGGC
rnacentral:lncRNA from 1 species